rnacentral:rRNA from 1 species
CCUACGGGAGGCAGCAGUGAGGAAUAUUGGACAAUGGAGGCAACUCUGAUCCAGCCAUGCCGCGUGAAGGAAGAAUGUCCUAUGGAUUGUAAACUUCUUUUAUUUGGGAAGAAACCUUUCUACGAGUAGAGAGCUGACGGUACCAAAUGAAUAAGGACCGGCUAACUCCGUGCCAGCAGCCGCGGUAAUACGGAGGGUCCAAGCGUUAUCCGGAAUCAUUGGGUUUAAAGGGUUCGCAGGCGGUCUAAUAAGUCAGUGGUGAAAUCUCGGGGCUCAACCUCGAAACUGCCAUUGAUACUGUUAGACUUGAAUACAGUUGGAGUAGGCGGAAUGUGUAGUGUAGCGGUGAAAUGCUUAGAUAUUACACAGAACACCGAUAGCGAAGGCAGCUUACUAAACUGUUAUUGACGCUCAUGAACGAAAGCGUGGGGAGCGAACAGGAUUAGAUACCCUGGUAGUCCACGCCGUAAACUAUGAUUACUCGAUAUUGGCGAUAUACGGUCAGUGUCUCAGCGAAAGUGAUAAGUA